CCCGCUGAAUUUAAGCAUAUUAUUAAGCGGAGGAAAAGAAACUAACAAGGAUUCCCCCUAGUAACGGCGAGUGAACGGGGAAGAGCCCAACACCGAAUCCCUUGGCGCAAGUCAACGGGAAAUGUGGUGUUAAGGUAGCCCUUCGUGUCAGUCUAGGCGUCUCAAGUCCACCUGAUUGUGGCUCAAGCCCAGAGAGGGUGUAAGGCCCGUAGAGACGCUCCGACUGAUUCCUGGGGUUUACCUACGAGUCGGCUUGUUUGGGAAUGCAGGCCAAAGCGGGUGGUAAACUCCAUCCAAGGCUAAAUACUGGCACGAGUCCGAUAGCGGACAAGUACCGUGAGG
rnacentral:ncRNA from 1 species